UACGUAGGGGGCGAGCGUUGUCCGGAAUUAUUGGGCGUAAAGAGCUUGUAGGCGGUCUGUCGCGUCUGCUGUGAAAAUCCGGGGCUCAACCCCGGACUUGCAGUGGGUACGGGCAGACUAGAGUGUGGUAGGGGAGACUGGAAUUCCUGGUGUAGCGGUGAAAUGCGCAGAUAUCAGGAAGAACACCAAUGGCGAAAGCAGCUUUCUGGGACGGUACUGACGCUGAGACGCGAAAGCGUGGGGAGCGAACAGG
rnacentral:rRNA from 1 species